GGACCCGCACAAGCGGUGGAUCAUGUUCUUUAAUUCGAGGCUAAACGAUAAACCUUACCAGGGCUUGACAUCCUAAGAAGGCUUCCGAAAGGAAACUGUGCUUUUAGAACUUAGAGACAGGUGAUGCAUGGCCGUCGUCAGCUCGUGUCGUGAGAUGUUAGGUUAAGUCCUUCAACGAGCGCAACCCUUGUGAACAGUUGUAUUUUUCUGUUCAAACUGCUUCGGUAACGGAGAGGAAGGGGGGGAUGAUGUCUGGUCAGUAUUUCCCUUACGUCCUGGGCUAGAAACGUGAUACAAUGGCAAGUACAAUGCGAAGCGAAGCCGCGAGGUGAAGCAAAUCGCACCAAAGCUUGUCCCAGUUCGGAUUGGAGGCUGAAACUCGCCUCCAUGAAGUCGGAAUCGCUAGUAAUCGCAGAUCAGCAUGUUG
rnacentral:rRNA from 1 species